GGCGUGCUUAAGACAUGCAAGUCGUACGAGAAAGUCUCUUCGGAGAUGAGUAAAGUGGCGCACGGGUGAGUAACGCGUGGGAACCUACCCUUUGGUUCGGAAUAGCUCAGGGAAACUUGAGGUAAUACCGGAUAAGCCCCUCGGGGGAAAGAUUUAUCGCCGAAGGAUGGGCCCGCGUCGGAUUAGCUAGUUGGUGGGGUAACGGCCUACCAAGGCGACGAUCCGUAGCUGGUCUGAGAGGAUGAUCAGCCACACUGGGACUGAGACACGGCCCAGACUCCUACGGGAGGCAGCAGUGGGGAAUAUUGGACAAUGGGCGCAAGCCUGAUCCAGCCAUGCCGCGUGAGUGACGAAGGUCUUCGGAUUGUAAAGCUCUUUUGGCGGGGACGAUAAUGACGGUACCCGCAGAAUAAGCCCCGGCUAACUUCGUGCCAGCAGCCGCGGUAAUAC
rnacentral:rRNA from 1 species